rnacentral:rRNA from 1 species
UGCAUCAUGAUCUAGCUAGUAACCCCAAGCAAAGAGACCUCUAGUUUGAACCCCCGAAACCGGACGAGCUACUCCGGGGCAGCCUAUUAUAGGGCCAACCCGUCUCUGUGGCAAAAGAGUGGGAAGACCCCCGAGUAGAGGUGAAAGACCUACCGAGUCAGGUUAUAGCUGGUUGCCCAAGAAAUGAAUAGAAGUUCAGCCCCGCCGCGCCCUCGCCCACAACAGUUUUACUUAAACAAGGCACAAAGGACACCCGCGGGAGUUAGUCAAGGGAGGUACAGCUCCCUUAACGAAGGACACAACCUUAAACAGGAGGCUAAGGAAUAAAUUAAACUAAGGCCAUAGGUUUCAGUGGGCCUAAAAGCAGCCAUCUGAACAGAAAGCGUUAAAGCUCAGACCAAUCCAAGCCUAUUAUAACAUUAAAACCUCCAAAGCCCCUAAUAUUACUGGGCCAUCCUAUGCCCUCAUAGGAGUGACCAUGCUAGAACGAGUAAUAAGAAGAAAGACCUUCUCCCAGCACAUGUGUAAGUCGAAUCGGACACCCCAUCGACAAUUAACGAACCCAAUAAAAGAGGGAAAUGCACCGUCGCCACCCCAAGCCAAGAAGACCAUGCAGUAGAAUAUCGUUACCCCCACACAGGUGUGCUCAACCCAAGGGAAAGACUUAAAGGAUAAAAAGGAACUCGGCAAACCAAAACCUCGCCUGUUUACCAAAAACAUCGC